CCCACUUGUUCCAUGGCCCACCCCUGACUCCCCAGCUCUCACAGUCUAGCCUAGACACCCUGACGAGGUGGAGGAUGUAAUUACACCUUGAAACACUCUGUGCACUGGUGACCCAGCUCCUUGCAUGUGUGACUCAAGCCCCAAGAGGUUAGGUUUGUUGUUUCUGCGGCGCUGGUCUGAGGUGUCGCGGCUGCCAGUUGCACCUGGUUUGGGCAACAGUGUCCUGGCGGGAGAACGAGAGACACGAGGCUCGGCAGCUGCAGAAAUGGUGUCAAUGUCACCUGCACCCCGUCCCGUCUGUGGCGGCCCGGCCACCGAGCUCGCUGAGGCGGGGCAGGCCCCUGCCCUCUGGCCUGUCCGCCUGUCCGCGGAUGCUCAGGUGGGUGGGGGUCCCCGGGCGCCUUGCCGUGCGGUGGUGGUUCCCACAGCUCACCCCGAGACGUCUGUGCUUGUGAACAGAUGUUUAACUUGGUGCUAAACGGGGGGCGAGACGGGGGAUGACUCGUGCUGCCGCAGUCUGAUGUCGCGGCCCCUGAGACUCGCCUCCUCCGUUGGACGCUGGAGACGUGAGCUGUGCCUACUUCCCAGGGGACGCGGGACGCUCGCUCUAAAGCGCUCGGAACAGCGGCGGCCACAGCCCUCAACGGGCGCCGCUGCUAUGAUCAUAAUCACAGGUCAGGGUGGGGCGGCUGCGUCCGUGGAUGCUCCCCCACGCUGGGCCUCGUGGCUGGGGGGCUGUGCCAGGAGGGGG
rnacentral:lncRNA from 1 species